GACGAACGCUGGCGGCGUGCUUAACACAUGCAAGUCGAACGAAGUGGCGAACGGGUGAGUAACGCGUAAUCAACCUGCCCUUCAGAGGGGGACAACAGUUGGAAACGACUGCUAAUACCGCAUACUGAAGGAGGGGAUUGCGUCUGAUUAGCUAGUUGGAGGGGUAACGGCCCACCAAGGCGAUGAUCAGUAGCCGGUCUGGGAGGGUGAACGGGCACAUUGGGACUGGGACCCGGGCCAGACUUCUAAGGGAAGCAGCAGUGGGGGAUCUUCCGCAAUGGAGGAAAGUCUGACGGAGCAACGCCGCGGGAGUGAUGAAGGCCUUCGGGUUGUAAAACUCUGUUAAUCGGGACGCGGUACCGGAAUAGAAAGCCACGGCUAACUACGUGCCAGCAGCCGCGGUAAUAC
rnacentral:rRNA from 1 species